AAUCCUGGCAAACUGGGUGCUAACGGAGCACUCAAGGAACAGAAGGUUGUUGCAGAGAAGCUAAAUGAAUUCUUUGCAUCGGUCUUCACUGCAGAGGACAUGGGGGAGAUCCCCAGACCUGAACCAUUCU